UCGACGCCUAAAACCUUUGUUUUUCUUCGAUUUUUAUUUAUUUAUUUUGUUUCGUUGAUUUUGAUUGUUUUUAGGGUUGAUUUGUUGUUAUUCCUUUGACUUGAUGUAAAUUUUUUGGGUUUAAUCGAUUGAGCUAUUAACUUAGAUCAUUUAGGGUUAAUUUUUAGGUUUUUGAAGUUAUAUCAGUUGAUUUUAGGGCCAAAUUGUGUCUGGUUAUUUGGAAUUCACACAAGUCGUAUUUGUUUGAUUUUCAUAUAUUCGAAUCACCUGCGAUGAGAUUUUCUUUGACCUGUGCAAUUUGAUGGUUUCAUGUCUGUGAUUUCUCUACUCUUUCUCUCUAUUUUGAUAAUUCAUCUCGUAAUUAUGUUCAUUGUUUUGUUUCUCUUUCUGGGUAUGCGUAAUUUUGUCCCAAUUUCGGAGGGUACAAUUCCAAAUUUGUGGCUAAUUCUUUCAUGGGCCUGUAAUUUGAUACCCAUCUUUAUUAAAUUUUGAUACCCAGAAAAUAAAAAAAUUGGGAAAAGGGUUUUGGAGUAAAUUUUUGUGGAUUAGUGAAGUUAAAUUAAGUGGGUGAUAAUUGAUUCAUUCGUGCUCAUGCCUUGUUUUUGGAAGAUAGGCUGGAAUGGAAUGUUUUCGUGUCUUGAAAUAUGAUGUUGAGACAGAACGUCCUAUAAGCAGUUUUAAUUCUUCUCCUUAUGCAUUUCGGUUUUCCUGGCUGCUUGUGUUGUUAACUUUCAUAACAUGCCAUUAUGCCGCAAUUUAAUUUCAGCUUGAACUUUCCCAUAGCGGCUCGGAUAUCAUCAUAAUAUAAUUAUUGACCUUUGAUCUUCUGUGCAGAGAACAAAGGAUCUUGAUACAAUUGACUUGCUUGAUCAAUUACCAACAUUACAACAACUUCUUUACAGGGUUCUUGGUUGCCAGGAUUUAGUUUUCACACUAGUAGAGAAAACGUCAUUUGCAACUUAUCUAGUUCCCAUGAGCUGCAUUGAAGUGUUUAAACUCUGUGCAUCAAGGAGGCGUGCAGAAUGCAGGGCAGCAAGAUUUUUGGGUUGCUGCAGGGUCUGCAUCUACUGCUAUGAAUGGCCGUAGUAGUCUUGUGUGGGUGUGCGUGAGCUCAUAAUGACUUUCCAGAAGAUCAAUUAUGCUCCUGAGGUUGAUAAAGUCUGCAAAGCUCUUAAGAUCCUUGCUCCUAUGCUCGUAUGUUUGGGUUAACUGGCAGUUUUGCUAUCUGUUUAAGGAGUAAGCACAUGGGGGAUGAUGAUUAUGUUCUUGAGUUCUUCCUCCCUCUAAACUUAAGAGAUAGUUUAGAAUAGCUUAAAUUGUUCCAUUUAUCUCCAGUUGGGUAACAAAUUAUCGACGACCUUGGUGCAUCAAGAAGCCAAGAGUUGUUAGGUGUAACCAUCCUGAGCGCGGAAACUGUAUCAGAGGUUUACUAGAUAACACAAGAUUGAUGUAAUUGGAUGGGUCAGAAGAUGUUGAAGUUUCUGAAGGAACUGUUUCAUCUGGUUUUGUAGAUAUCAGUACCAGAUCACCAUUUCUUUUCGUUGUGAUUGCUUGGUGCUUUUCGGUUAUGCUGUACAAACUUAUGUCAGUCUAGUUUAUCGAUGUGCUGGUGGUUCUCUUUUGCAUUGGUGGUGCGGAGGUGAGCUCAGUCCAUAAGUAGAACAACUAUAGCUAAAUUCACUUUUAAUCUCCCGAAAUAAUUCUCUAUUAUCCUAUACUUUUGCAGUUGAUCAGAGAGGCAUCUCAACCAUAUGUAAUAAAUUAUUGUCAUGUUUAAUUAUAAUAGCUUUUAGAGCCAUGAGUUCAUCAAUUUUACUGGCUCCUAGUUUUUUUACUAUUAUUUUAUGUUGAAUGUUUGUGCAAAAAAGGUUAUGGAGGCUAGUACCUAGUAACAAUGUAUUAUUACUGUAGUGAUUUUUUUUAUAAAUAAAUAUACUAUUUACAGCA